GUGAGUCAUCGAAUCUUUGAACGCACAUUGCACCCGGUGGUAUUCCGCCGGGUAUGCCUGUUCGAGCGUCUGUAGAACAACACCAAGACCAAGCUUAGGCUUGAUUUUGAGGUUGCUGCUUCGGCUGCAGCCUUUAAGUAGAGGUGGCGGCGUCCGAUGGACUCUAAGCGUAGUAAUUUCUCCUCGCUACAGAGUCUGCCGGCGCAUUUGGUACUCACUCCAAGCCAACCAAACCCCCCAAUUUAUUUGACCUCGGAUCAAGUAGGGAUACCCGCUGAACUUAAGCAUAUCAAUAAGCGGAGG
rnacentral:rRNA from 1 species